rnacentral:lncRNA from 1 species
UUGAACUACUCGAAUAUCAAGUUCUCAAUUUUUAUUUUUUUUACUUAAAUAAUAUUUUUUCAGAAAACUUUCUCGUGAUCUAUAAAAAUCUAAACACAGCUCAUGAUCGGAUAGUAAUUGACGAAUCAUUGGCGCUAAUCAAUGAAUUCACUUAAAACAUACAGAUACAACGCCCAUGAAUCUUGAUUGUGACUUGAUCCAAUCAGCCACCUGCCACUUUGGACAUGCUCAGCCCAAUUCGAUCUUCUAUCAUUUCGAGCGUGACUCAGUCCAACCUGAUAUCCCGCUAUACAAGAAGAUGCUAGUCACUUUAAGACUUAGUUUGGUAUUGAGGCCUAUCUAAUGCUAUUAGAUAAAAUGGAGUUGGAGUAAAAUCGCAUAGGAAUAUGUAUUUGCGCUCUCCGGUGGGACCGCAAGAUAUUUUCUCAUGGUAAUUUUUUAUCGCACGUAAUGCAAUUUUCUCACAAUACCAAAGGAAGCCUGAAUCAACAGUAAUUUGGGUAGCAAUUUGAUGUU